AAAGCAUUCACCAUCUAGAGAGACACAGAGAUGAGGAGCCCAAGGGAUGAAACUGGAGAGGGUCAGCCUAAGGAGCAGGAAGCAGCAGUGCAGGGAGUAAAGAGUACUGGAUUUAGAGUCAGACACCCAGGUUCAAGUUCUAGUUUGCAGUUCAUAGAAGCAGUCUUCCCAGCUUGAUUUUAUUCACAGAAGAAAAAGGCACCCCUGGGAAGUGCCUGACAAAACCUUGAAGAGAGAAGAAGCUCUGCUGUGGUUUGAAUGCAUCCCCCAAAGUUCAUGUGUUGGAAACUUGAUCCCCAAUGCAGCAGUAUUGGGAGGAUGCCUUUUGCCAUGUUAUGAUCCUGCAGGAAGACCCUCACCAGAUAUGGCUCCUUGAUCUUGGACUUCCCAGCCUCCAGAAUUGUGAGAAAUAAAUUUCUGUUUUUAAUAAAGUUCCCAGUUUGUUGCAUUCUGUUAUAGCUGCACAAAGCAGACUGAGACAGGCUCCUUUACUCAUGGUGAAGAAGGUAAGUCCCUUAUGACUUUAUCAAAUAAAAAUAAUGACUACAGGUAAAGGGCU
rnacentral:lncRNA from 1 species